GUACAAGUCGUAACAAGGUUACCGUAGGUGAACCUGCGGUAGGAUCAUUAGCAAAACUAGUACAUGGGAAAUUCAAUUCGGUAGAAUUGAAUUUUCUAUGGCAAUGAAUGCGGGCGGCGCGGCUGUAGCGGCGCUGCCUCGACAUAGGAGAGGAGAGAGAGGUGUGGUGUAGGUAGGGGACGGAGAAGAGGAAGUGAUGAACGACCUUUAACAAUGGAUCUCUAGGCUCCUGC
rnacentral:misc_RNA from 1 species